AAAUUGCUUCAAGGCAAACACUUUCACGUCGCUUCGUCAUCGUCACACGGAAUCUAAAGGUUUUGACUGAAAAUCUUUGAAUCGGGCGAUGGAGCGAACGAGCAACGGAGGAAUGUUGUACCACGAGGUGCAGGAAGCUAAUCUAUGCGCAGUACACUGCGUCAACACGGCCCUGCAGGGUCCUUUCUUCUCCGAGUUUGAUUUGGCCGCCGUCGCCGCCGAUCUCGAUGGAAAGGAGCGUCAGGUCAUGCUAGAAGGCGCCGCCACCGGAACCUUCGCCGCCGGCGAUUUCUUCUCCGAGGAGUCUCACAAUGUUUCCCUCCGUGGUGAUUUCAGUAUCCAGGUCUUGCAAAAGGCUUUGGAAGUGUGGGAUUUACAAGUGAUCCCACUCAACUGUCCCGAUGCAGAGCCUGCGCAGAUAGACCCCGAGCUUGAGAACGCCUUCAUCUGCCACUUGCAUGACCAUUGGUUUUGCAUAAGGAAAGUGAGCGGCGAAUGGUAUAACUUUGACAGCCUCCUCGCUGCACCCCAACACCUAUCGAAAUUCUACCUCUCUGCGUUUCUCGACUCUCUGAAAGGCUCGGGAUGGAGCAUCUUCAUAGUCAAAGGAAACUUCCCGCAGGAGUGUCCCAUGUCGUCUUCUUCUGAAGCUUCCAACGCUUUCGGACAGUGGCUUUCUCCUGAAGACGCAGAGAGAAUACUAAAGGAGACAAGCUCGACACAGAGUUCUUCUUCUGCUGCUGCCGUAAACAACAGAAGUAGUGACAAUGUUGAUCAACAAAUACCGUAUCAGGCGUUGUCGGGUGAGGAAGUACGGACUUUUUCAGAGAUGGAAGAUGAUGACUUGAAGGCAGCGAUUGCAGCGAGUUUGUUAGAUGCUUCUGCGGCUGGUGCCAGUCUUGGAGCUGUUGGGACUACUUCUCAAAGGGAGGAAACUGAGAAACAAAAGUAGCAGAGGAGAUAGAGAACAAUGCUUUAUUGGUGAGGAGCAUAGCAUAGCUUUGUGGUUUCAUCAGCACAUGAUAAUCUGUUUCUACAUUCGGAGUGAAAUCCAAAUCUUGGUGACAUUUGGGAUCUGAGAAAAUCUGAGAGAAGACUGUACAUGAGAUUCUGGGACGUGGCAGUGUUGCAGAUGUGAUGCUGUGGAAAAAGAAGAAUGGGAGUGUUGGUAUGGUCACAGUAACAAUAGGAUCAUGGUUGGUGUUUGAGACAUUUGCUUAUACCAUUCUCACUCUUCUUUCAGUUGUUCUUCUCCUCUUCCUCUGGUCCAAAUCUGCAUUCAUCCUCAACAGGCCAUCACCGCCAUUGCUGAAGCUAUGGCUGAAGAAGCCUACAAGUUUUUACGUUAUCCAUUUGAAAACAAACUGUUUAAAGUCUCGCAUGACACUGCAAUGGUGAGACUGGAGAGUUAUUUGUCAAAGUAGCUGUAGUUUCUCAUCUCAUUCAUUGGAAUCCUCAUGGAUUUCAAACACUUUGCCACACCGGGGUUUUAGUGGUUAUGAGAGAUAUGAGGAUUAUUUAGAUGGAUCUCUGGUGUUCAUAUAAAUGUUUGAAUGGUACAAGCCCAAAUAUGAGCUACUACCAACAGGAAAUUUAUUUCACAGUUUUGAUUGAAAACAA